CCUAAGUAGGUCACCUAAUCGGUUGUUUACUUUGCUGUUGGAUACGAAGCAUGAUAAACUAAGCAGGGAGAAAACUGUAUAAGUUCCAUCUCCAUAACAACGAAGAUGAGAACAAUUACAAGAGACCCUUGCCAGCCACCUCCACAAAAUCAGUUUUAACCUCAGAGCAAUGAGGAGUGACAUAGCAAACUACGUCUGAUGUCUGAACAACACAGGGCAUUGGGCCAGGCAGGAAAGUUUCAUUGUAUUGAGCAGCAGGGACUGGACAUCUCCAACUGCAGCCAAAUUCUGCAGAUUAUUGAGAAAACAGUUUGCAAAGGAGUGAGAAAACGUCAUUCAAGAAAACUUUCCUGGUUUGGGUGGACAUAGCCGAAGUGGAUUUGAAUAUCUGUCUUUACAAGUCAAAAUUUAUACCAGGAAGCUCUAAUGAAAAUGGUGUCACUCAACAAAUCUAUAAGUAAAUUCAUUCUAAAGACUUAAUGAAUUCAUUCCCAACAUCUGGAACAUUAUUAAUUUCCUUUCAUUCUCUGCAACCUACAUAAUUAAAUUAAGAAAUUAUAAUUUA